rnacentral:lncRNA from 1 species
GAAAAAUGGUAUUCUGAAAUGCUACUCUUCUGCUAUACUCGUAAGUACAUCAAAGUUGACUCACAGGCCUACAUGUACCUGGAAUAUAAAAUUUAUGGUGAAUUAUUCAGAGAAGAAACACCCAUCAAAGUGUUAAAACAAGAAGUGAUUCAGGCCAAAAUCUCCAGUGAGAAGGUAGUUCCUGCCAGUGUAGACCCUGCUGACACUGAAACAAUUCUCCAGUAUGAAAUCAAACAGAUACAG